ensembl:snRNA U11 spliceosomal RNA
CAACGGUGCUCCUGUUAGAGUGGCACACAUAGGGCAGCUUGAUUGCUCUACGUGUGAAAUUGACAUCAAGAGAUUUUGGAAGCAUAAUAUUUUGGUAUCUGGGUGGCUGGUAAUUGUUGGUCCUGGAAACCUG